rnacentral:lncRNA from 1 species
GGUGGCCCAAAUUUAAGCCCAAUUAAGGAGGGACAUAUUGGACAUUUGGUAUGCUAAAUAAGAAUUAAAAAGAAAUUAAUUAUUAAUGUGGAAAUUACUAGUUUACCCUUUUGUCCAUUUGGUGUAUUAUUGUGAAUUAUUGUCACCAAUUAUUCCACAAAAGCUAGACAUCUAGAAUUUACCUAUAAUACUAUAGCAUUACUAGCCCUAAUCAUCCAUUACAAUUAUUCCAUACAAGGCUUGUUAGAUUAAAGAGAGAGAGAAAGUGUAUUAUUGCUCAAUUUUUUCUCUCUUGCUCUCACCAAAAGAAAAUCAAAUAAAGAGAGAGAGGAAGGGGUGAGUUCGGCCACUUCCAUGGAGGGAGAAGAGAGGGUCCUUUGAUGUACAAUAACUUAAAUCUCCUACUUUGGAAAGCAAAGAAAGAGGGCCAUCAAAAGCAAGAGGAUUAUAGCUAAAGGUAAAAAUUUCCUAAACUCAAAACUCUAGUUAGUUUAUGGUUGACCAAGUGUUGAACUUAUGAUUUUGAGUCAUAUGAGGGUAGGUCUACAUGAUAUAUGAUAUUUUAUGGUUAGAUCUUGCCAUUUUUAAGGUUGAUGAGCUUGAACAAAGAAGAAGAACCAAAACAGUUUUUUAAAAAAUAAUCUAGUGGACUGCUGCCCCUAAACAGAAAAUUCGGGAUUUGUUAGGUUGCUCUAAAAAUUCUGGGCUUUUGGUAUGUUAUAGUAUACUCAAUAAGCUUUCUAUAGACUCUGAAACGGACAAAAUCCGACAUCGGAGGAGAGAGUUAUGAAAUUUCUCCCAAACUACUCAAAGGGAAGAAAAACUGUUAGAGCAACAGUUUUUAACAGCCACUUCCGGGCUAAUUUCCGGGAGCUUAACAUAUCCAAAUAUGGAUUGUGAUAGAUGAAAAUUGUAUAUCGGAAAGAUAAGAAUCCAACAAAAUUGACGGAUCAUUAAUCGGAGUUAUAGAUCUCAUUUUAUUUAAGAUUUAGUAAAGGACUCCAAAACUGUUUUUGACAAAAAGUAAGCUGAUAAUAUUUUGUGAGGGCUGUUUUGUCAACUUUUCUUGUGAGGAAAAAUUCGACCUUUUGGGAAAUGAAAAUAUAUGGUAUUAAGUACCUCGUGUCCAAAAAUGAGCUCAUUCCGACUUAAAAUGACUGAGUUAUGACCAUUUUAAUUUUUGUGAUUUUCCGACGAAAACGGCUAUAACCGGAGUUCUACAACUCCGAUUGCCACGAAAUUUAAAAUGGAGCAUCACGUUAACAUAUAUAAGGUUAUGUCAAAAGAUGGGCAUCUCUGGAGUUAAGCACGAGGUAGCUAAUUUUCUUAAGUCACGCACUAAUUAUGAUUUUUGAAAAAUAGAAUUAAUGUUUUAAAAAUCAUAUAAAAAUGAUUUAAGUGUUAGAAAAAUAUUUUAAGUUAUAAAUUAUAACUUUUGAGAUUUUGGCAUGAAAAUAUUAAUAUUUUAUUAUUAAUAUCAAUUAUCGGAUAAUGAAUUUAAGUGUUUAAAAAUCACAUAAAUGUGAUUUUAAGGUAUUAAAAAUACCGUGAUAUAUUAUAAAUAUAUUAUAAUAUUAUGUUAUGAUUUUUAUUAAUAUUUAAUGAUAAAUAGAUAUUAAUGAUUAAAGAAUUAGGUGGUAUUUAAUUCAUUUAAAUACGUUAUUAAUGAUCGGAAAAUUUAGAUAAAAUAUUAAUUAUCCGAAAAUUAUUGCAAGACUAUGAAAAAUGUUUUGACUGAUAAGAAAAUUAUCUGUGAUAUCGUCAAGUGUUUAGACAGAGUUUAAUUAAACUUAGACUCGUUAAUUGUCCGACUAGACCGUCGGGAUGAUAGAGUUGUACCGAUUUCAACUCGGACUGAAAUAGUCUGACUUGAUGCUAUGUCCUAUGUGUAUAAGAGACUGAUAGGAGUAAGUGGUAAUAUGUUUAAGUUAUUUUAUAACAGAGAUGAUAUUAUUCUAAUAUUGUAGAUCUAUAUUAUUAAUAUUAGGUCUUCGGGAGAAGCUUAUUAUAUUGCAUUACGGUAAUUAACGGUUCAGGCAAGUUCUUUUUACUUAAACUCUUUUAAGAGUGGUUUCAGACAGAUAUGAUUAUGAAUUGUACUCUUUACAUAUUGCAUGUAUUCAUCAGGUAUGAAAGGCUGAUCACCUUCAUUACCAGUCGUUCCAGAUAUAAUUGUUAUGUUCAUUUUUAAUGUUCAUUCAGCUUUGAAAUUUUGUUCAUGCUAAUUCACAACUACAUUGUGAAGGAUAGCCAGCUUAUUAUUCAAACUCUUUCCAUCAUGAUAUAUCUUUACCUUGCUUUUAAACUUGCUGGGCAACUUUCAUGCUCACCCUUGCUAUAUCAUGAUAAAACAUUGCAGAUAAGGCGAAUACGGCCAGAUACAGAAAAAGGAUAAUGCCAAGUUCAGCUUGGUACAGAGUGUGAAGUUAAGUUGUAAAGUAUGUUGAAGAAUAGUAUUGUC